UGUAAAAUUAACACGGAAGAAUUUCAUGGAGUGGCGGCACUUCAAAUGUUGUCUACAUAAACAAUAUUAUAGUACAAGUUGAUGGAAUUCAACUUGUAUUUAAAAUUUCGUGUAGCAGCUUGAAGUGGGUUUCAAGACUUAUGUGGAAGAAGUAUGUGGUUGUUCCACACAAAGGAAUCAUGACCUCCCCGACCAU